rnacentral:rRNA from 1 species
GAUGAACGCUGGCGGCGUGCCUAAUACAUGCAAGUCGAGCGAACAGAUGAGGAGCUUGCUCCUCUGACGUUAGCGGCGGACGGGUGAGUAACACGUGGAUAACCUACCUAUAAGACUGGGAUAACUUCGGGAAACCGGCGCUAAUACCGGAUAAUAUAUUGAACCGCAUGGUUCAAUAGUGAAAGACGGUUUUGCUGUCACUUAUAGAUGGAUCCGCGCCGCAUUAGCUAGUUGGUAAGGUAACGGCUUACCAAGGCAACGAUGCGUAGCCGACCUGAGAGGGUGAUCGGCCACACUGGAACUGAGACACGGUCCAGACUCCUACGGGAGGCAGCAGUAGGGAAUCUUCCGCAGUGGGCGAAAGCCUGACGGAGCAACGCCGCGUGAGAGAUGAAGGUCUUCGGAUCGUAAAACUCUGUUAUUAGGGAAGAACAAAUGUGUAAGUAACUAUGCACGGCUUGACGGUACCUAAUCAGAAAGCCACGGCUAACUACGUG